AUGGAGCUAUAGGCACUGAUUGCCACAAGUCUAUACUUGAGAUUUUGAUAAAGUUUUAUCAUAUUUUCUGUUAUAUUUAAAAUAAAUUUAAAAUAAAUCAAAAGUGCUAGUCUGGCAUUUCAGAUGAUCCCAUGAGAGAGACAGAGAGAGGAAAACAAAAAAAAAACAAUAUGGCCCCAUUGUUCUCAAGCUACUUUCACUUUGCUUUAUUUUUCUUCAUAGCCCUCUUCAUUUGCUGAUGAGGUGAGGUUGGUGGAAUCAUGUCCCUAGAGAUGUCCAUGUCCUAAUCCUCACAAUCUGUGGACAUGUUACCUUACAUGGCAAAAGGGACUUUGCAGAUGUGAUUACAUUAAGGACCUUGAGUUGAGGAGAUUUUGUUGGAUUGAGUAAAUACUGUCUAAUACCAUAGGUCCUUAAGAGCAAAGAGAACCUUUCUUUGCUGUAGUCAGAAGGAGAUAGGACUAUGAAAAGAUGAUCAGAACAUUGUUGGCUUUGAAGAUUGAGGAAGGGUUCCAUGUGAGAAGGUUCUAGAAGUAGGGAAAGACAAGGAAACUGAUUCCUAGAACUUCUAGAAAGGAAUGAAGCUCAGCUAACACCUUGGUCUUAGCCUUGGGAGAUCAGUGUUGAAAUUUUAACCAUAAGAAUGAUAAGGAGAAAGGCUCACUGAUGGAAAGUUCUUUGGGCAUGGCAUCAGAUCAAGAACAGAUAGAGAAAUACUUCAUCCUGGCCACCGUAAGGACAAAUGAGCUUUUUGUGCCACAAAAACAAUUUGGCCUACUGUGUGGAAAAUGAAUUGGAUGGACCUGGUGAAAUGAUACAGGAGCCCAUUUCACUGACCAGGCAUGUUUGUGAAAAGAAGAUAUGUUUUUGUGUAAGAUACAGACCAGAUGUUUUUCCAUUAAAUAUAAUAAAUACCAGUCUGAAUAUUG